AGAUCGUGAGCUUAAAUGGGCUCAGGCACAGAGGACUCUCCAUGGGUUGCAUCAACCAGAGACGCGGUUUACUGAACGCAGUACUUUUAAUGAGCUUAAUCAGAUAGCUGAAGAAGCAAAACGACGGGCUGAGAUAGCAAGGCUGAGAGAACUGACUACACUGAAAGCCCAUGUCGAAUCCGUAGUAAAACUGAAGAAUCUCGACAUAGAAACAAUUCAGCAGUCGUACACGGUUUGAGUCCGAUUAUGGCGAAAUUUAGACGACCUUACGCCCCAGUGGUGGUGUAUGUUGAUUUGGCUUACAGUCAUCAGAUUGCUAUUUCUUCUUCUUUUCCGUGUCCAUAUUUGUCUGGUUUUUUGGGUUUAGGUUAGAAACCUCGAUUUGGAAAUUGAAUUUUAAGUAUCAUCUAGUGCUUCCAGUGAUUAUCGAAUGGCAGAGUUUGAUCUUAUUGUCGCAAAAAUUUGUAAAAAAAUUGUUUAUGUCAAGCACUUGUUUAUUUUAUAAUAUAUAAUUUUUUGCAAUUAGUAA